UUCGGGAGAAGGUACGCUGCCGAUGGUGAGUAGACAUGCUCUACAAAGCUAUUGGCAGUCGCAGAUACCAGGCCGCUGCAACUGUUUAUUAAAAACACAGCACUCUGCAAAGACGAAAGUCGACGUAUAGGGUGUGACUCCUGCCCGGUGCUGGAAGAUUAAAUGAUGGGGUGCAAGCUCUUGACUGAAGUCCCAGUAAACGGCGGCCGUAACAAUAACGGUCCUAAGGUAGCGAAAUUCCUUGUCGGGUAAGUUCCGACCUGCACGAAUGGAGUAACGACUUGGGCGCUGUCUCAACCGUGGACUCGGCGAAAUUGCACUACGAGUAAAGAUGCUCGUUACGCGCGGCAGGACGGAAAGACCCCGGGACCUUUACUAUAGUUUGGUAUUGGUGUUUGAUUCAGUUUGUGUAGGAUAGGUGGGAGACUGUGAAACCCUAACGCUGUUAGGGCGGAGUCGUUGUUGAAAUACCACUCUGAUCGUAUUGGACUCCUAACGUCGAACCGUAUAUCCGGUUCACGGACAGUGCCUGGUGGGUAGUUUAACUGGGGCGGUUGCCUCCCAAAAUGUAACGGAGGCGCCCAAAGGUUCCCUCAGCCUGGUUGGCAAUCAGGUGUUGAGUGUAAGUGCACAAGGGAGCUUGACUGUGAGACAGACAUGUCGAGCAGGGACGAAAGUCGGGACUAGUGAUCCGGCACCUACUUGUGGAUGUGGUGUCGCUCAACGGAUAAAAGGUACCCCGGGGAUAACAGGCUGAUCUUCCCCAAGAGUCCAUAUCGACGGGAUGGUUUGGCACCUCGAUGUCGGCUCGUCGCAUCCUGGGGCUGGAGUAGGUCCCAAGGGUUGGGCUGUUCGCCCAUUAAAGCGGCACGCGAGCUGGGUUUAGAACGUCGUGAGACAGUUCGGUCUCUAUCCGCCGCGCGCGUCAGAAACUUGAGGAAAUCUGUCCCUAGUACGAGAGGACCGGGACGGACGAACCUCUGGUAUACCAGUU
rnacentral:rRNA from 1 species